UUUGAAAACUACAAUAUGUAGCUAUAGGCUUCCCGUUUUUUCAGUUUUAUUUGUGCAUUGGUGUCUGCCAUGUGGCUGGUGAUAUAGUCCAAGCAGUUGAUGUUUUUGUAUUUGUCGCUCUCCAACAAAGGAAAGAAGAACAACAAAGGAAAAAGAAGUGAAUAUAUUUAAAUUGUUACAUUCUGUUUCGUCCAGCAGGACCAAAGGUAAGUUAUUUCAUUUCAUAUUCUCAUAUGGAAUGAGAAGGCCAGAAAUGGAUCAAUUUGGGUCGAGUCCCAUUGUAAAAAACACAUUCCUAGCAGAAUUUAACUUUUUUUUUUCAAUUCUAGUACAAAACGUAUGAGUCCAUAGGAGGAAAUGGCAGUAGGGAUUUUGUGAUACGAUGUCUGAAGAGGUCGUUCACAAAUGACAUGGCUGAGUUGUGUUCAUGGACUGGUCAAAAAGACAAUUACAAAAUAGCUGACAGUCCAGUAAUGAAAAUAUUACACAGUGCAGUAAAGAAGACAACUGGAGUGUCCGAAAAGGACUUCGAGAUAUAUGUCAAGGAUUGGCUCCGACAUGCCAAACAACGGAAGGAGAGGAUGUUGAAAA